AGCUCCAAUAGCGUAUGUUAAAGUUGUUGCGGCUAAAAAGCUCGUAGUUGGAUUUCUGUUGAGAACUGACGGUCCACACUAUGUGUGAGUAUUGUUUUGGUCUCGGCAUCCGCCUUUUUGACGUGUAUGCGCUUGAUUGCGUGUCACGGACAGAGGGCCUUUUACUUUGAGGAAAUUAGAGUGUUCACGGCAGGCAGUCGCCCUGAAUAUGUUAGCAUGGAAUAAUAAUAUAGGAUCUUGGUUCUAUUUUGUUGGUUUCUAGGGCUAAGAUAAUGAUUAAUAGGGACAAUUGGGGGCAUUCGUAUUGCGGUGUCAGAGGUGGAAUUCUUGGAUUAUCGCACGACGAACUACUGCGAAAGCAUUUGCCAAGGAUGUUUUCA
rnacentral:rRNA from 1 species